CAUCCAGCCAUGUCUUUGCUGUACAUCACUGUUAUUUUCAGCGCCACGGCACUGACUUCUACAGCUCCCCUGCAGUGUGACAAAGCAGUGAAGCCCUUAAUGAUCAAAGAUCUCAAUGAGAUCAAAGGAAAAUGGAUUCUGAUCUCAGGUGCUACAGAUUAUAAAAAAUAUCAGGAUAUGCUGAAGGAGUUGCAGAGCUCCUGGAUCGAGGUCCUGCCUCUCACUACUAAUAUAAGCAUCAUGAAUCAGGGUUACAAGAUGAAGAACUGUACUUGGCUUCCUUCUUACAUGAACUUGAAAGACGAAAGUGGAACUCUAUUCUUUGAAUUAAUAGUUUACUAGAGACAACAUCAGUUUUACACUCCUGGAGACCUUCCCUGAUUGUCUUUUGAUGAACAUAACCAGCGUUGAAGAAGAGCAGCUGAUAUACACUCUUUAUUUGUUUGGGAGAUCACGACAGAUUAAUGCAACGUACCUUGAAGAGUACCAGAAGCAGGUGCAGUGCCUUGGAUUACCCCCACCAGAUUUCUUUGAUCAUGGGAAAGAGCUGUGUCCCUUCAAAGAGAAAUCAGAAGUUUCUCAUACACAGCUUUCAAAAUCGGACAAAGACUAACUCCAUAAAACCUUCCAGGUUGUCCAGAAAAAACAGCAAAAACCCAUCUAUUCUAUUUUUUUUAGAAUGAUUGUUCACCCUUAGCAAUUAGUUAAUAUAUACAUAUGCACCUACUUAUCUGUUACCUUGAGAGCAAGGACUAAGCAUCUCUGCUUUUGUAAAACACCUUUCCCCCUUCUUACCUGCUUAUUUUCCUGGUUACCUUUGAACCUCUUGGCUACAUACUGUAAGUAAAACCAGCAUAUUUUAGCUUCCUGGGAAAUAAAUCAAAUUACAUUUUUUGGACUGAAAAAGAACUAAUACAUAAUACAUGUUAACACUAGACAAUUUUGUCACUUUUCCUCUGUUGUCUGAUUUCCACAUGUCUUUGUAAAAAUAUAUUUAUCAGACUUCUGGAAAAUUCAAAGCUAUAAAAUAUCUUUGACAGUAUUAAAUUGAAAUGUACAUCAUUGGCAAUAAUGUUCUCCAAACAAUAAAAAUAAUUAUAUUUA